CCAUUCACUAACCAUUUAGGACAAAGUAAUUACAGUUUUAGUUGCUUCAUUGUUGAUUACGAAAAAUCACCAUUUUAAUGUAAUAAAGGGGUUUUUGUAAUCUAGGGAAUUAUUAACAUCAGUGAAUACAAAGUAAACAUCCAUCAUUAACACUCCCAAUUUCUGUGUGAAGUUCUGUACACACCCCUGUAUUUCUGUACCCAUUUGCGCCUUUGUGAUAUGUUUUGGGGGAAUUGAUUCUGUGUCGUCUGUAGUGCAUGUCAAUAAUAGGGUAAAGAUAGCGCUUGUCCGCUUCUCUAUUUGCUUUAACAAUUGCACCAGACCAGCUAUUGCACUCGGUCGGGAUUGGAUAGAUCUAAGUGGAUGUUUUCGUUCAAAAACUAUCGUUCCAGGUGAAAGUAAUACUGGGUGAUGCACAUGAAGUUAUACCAAAAUUAAAGGAGAAUUACGGAAUAGAAAGAAUCGACUUGGUGUUAAUCGAUAACGACCCACCAAAUUAUAAAAAAGAAUUGAUUGAAUUGCUUGACACAGGAUUAAUUCAAAAGGGAACUGUCGUUGUUGCUGAUAAUGUAACGUAUCCAGAGGCCAGCGAUUACGUCAACUUCGUAAGAAAGCAUGAACAAUUUGAGAGCACCUUGUUCGAGACGCAUCUGCAGUAUAGGCCACACAUCCGAGACGGAAUGGAGAAAUCUACCUACUUGGGUUAAUUAAUGUGUGUUUAUAAACAUGAAUGAAAGCAAUGGCUAGGCGAUAUUCUGAUAAAAUUAAUUCCUUCAUUAACAAAAUGUUUACUCACCAGUGGCAUAGAUAAGUAACAUUGUGCAAUUGGCGUGCCGUAUGUCAUAAUCAUAUUUUAUAUAUAUAUAAAUAUAUACUAUCGUCACAAUACCAGUUCAUCAUUUGAGCAACAUCGAUCUAUUAUCUUGAUAUAAGACUUAAUUUGAAAAAAGAAUGUGAAAGAAUUUUAUAAUCAUGUGGA